AAGGGCACCACAAGAACGCGUGGAGCAUGUGGCUUAAUUUGACUCAACGCGGGAAAUCUUACCGGGUCCGGACACACUGAGGAUUGACAGGCGAUAUCAACUUUUUACUUUUUUUAUCAUCUCUCAUUGAUGAUUAAGAGAAUGUAUGAGAGUUGUGUUAAAUAUGCUAGUCCUUUCAUGAUUAUGUGAUAGGUGGUGCAUGGCCGUUCUUAGUUCGUGGAGUGAUCUGUCUGCUUAAUUGCGUUUCACUAAGGGCCUAUAUCAAUAUAGCAUGUCUAUGCAAUUCUAGCGCAUUGACCCCUCACCUCUUUUUAAUAAGAGUGUGCUUGCUGCGUGUCUUUGACCAACGCUGUUUGCUUUUCAUGUGUUUUAGGUCCUGAAAGCAACGAACGUGACCGCAACCUCUUGUUGCCUCAAAUCUAUCUCCACUUUCACAUUGAAACUUUUUUUAUAAAGUUACAAUUGUGUGGUGUUAUUGAGGCUUUUUUUAAACUAGAGGGACCGCUGUUAUCUUCUUAAACCAGAGGAAGGUUGCGGCAAUAACAGGUCUGUGAUGCCCUUAGAUGUUCCGGGCUGCACACGUGCUACAAUGAUCAUUGCAGUGAGCAUCUCAUUUACUUUAUACAUCGCUAGCGCGAGUCCGUUUAUUCUGUUCAUGCCGUGGUGUCAUAUGCUAUGGCUGCAGCUUUAAACGUGUAUCUCUGCGCGCGAUAAAGCCUACUUUGAAAGUUUAGUGGGUAAUCAAUUAGAAGUAAUGAUUUCCAAGUUAUAGCACACUGAUAUACGGCAUCUUUACCCAGCUAGCCUUUUGCGCUAGUCUUUUGUGUGUAGAGAUGAAACAACUUGUCUUAUCAUUGACUCACACUUUUUUGGUGUGUUCAGUGUAUGAGUUUAGUUUGUUUAUUCUUACCGUAUGUGCAAUUGUCAAUUCAUGGUGGGGACAGACCAUUGUUAAUUGUUGGUCUCGGCCUUAACUAGGAAUGCCUUGAACGGGUCUUUGGUUCAACAAACCACCCGGAAUACGUCCCUGCCCUUUGUACACACCGCCCGUCGCUCUUACCGAUGGACUUCUCUGUGAGUUUGAGGGACUGGGUAAUCUUUACACCUAUGGAAACUUAAACGAACAGUGUGGUCUAAAGGAAAGAGAAGUCGUAACAAGGCAUCA
rnacentral:rRNA from 1 species